rnacentral:lncRNA from 1 species
CCCCAAAUUUCCAUAUUUCCCCAAAAUUCCUCCUGGAACCCCCAAAAUUUCCAUUUUUCACUCAGAAAAUUCCCUUUUUUCCCCAAAUCUCCAUUUUUUACCCCCAAAAAUUCCCAAUUUUUCCCCCAGAAUAUCUCCAGGAACCCCAAAAAUUCCCAUUUUUCACCCCAAAAAUUCCCAUUUUCUCCCCAAAAUUCCCUUUUUUCACCCCAAAAAUCCUCCCCAAACCCAAAAAUUUCCAUAUUUUCACCCAAAAAUUCCCAUUUUUUACCCAAAAAUCCCAUUUUUUACCCAAAAAUUCCCUUUUUUCCCCCAAAAAAGGCACCAAAACCCCAAAAUUCCAGAGCAUUUCCUUUAUUGGGGGAGGGGCCCCGAAUUUCCCCAAUUUUGGGGCUUUUUGGGGCAAAACCUCCCCAAUGUUUUUACUUUUUUGGGCAAAACCCUCAAAUUUGGGGAUUUUUUAGGAGAAACUCCAAUUUUCACAAUUUUCGGGAUUUUUUUAGGGGCAAAACCCCAAAAUUUGGGAUUUUUUUGGGAGCUGAACCCCCAAAUUUUGGGGUUUAUUUGGAGGCAGAAACCUCAAAAUUUUGGGAUUUUUUUCCCCCCAAAUUCUGGGAUUUCUUUGGGCUGGAAAUUUUCCCAACUUUUGGGAGGAAACCCCAAAUUUUCCCUUUUUUUUGGGGGCAAACCCCUCAAAUUUUGGGAUUUUUGGGGGGCAAAAGCUCCAAAUUUUCCCAAUUUUGGGGUUUUUUUGUUUAUUUUGGGGCCGAACCCCCAAAUUUGGGGAUUUUUGGGGUUUUUUUGGGGGGGGUCCCUCCGACAGCGCCGAUUUUGGGGGGAGGGGAGGGGAGGAAGAGGAAGAGGAGGGAGAGAAACCCAAAGGCGGCGAGGCCGAAGGCUCAGGAGGAGGAAGAGGAGGAAAUCGAAGCCGAUGAGGCCGAAGGUCAUGAGGAGGAGGAGGAGGGAAUACAACCGAACCCGACGAGGCCGAAGGCUCACGAGGAGGAGGAGGAGGAGGAUGAAGGCCCCUCAUUUCACAGCGAGGAUGAUGAGGGUCCCUCACCCCCCUGAGGAGGAGGAGGAAACCCAACCCGACGAGGCCAAAGGCUCAGGAAGGGGAGGAUGAUGAUGAUGACGACGAAGGCCUCCCCCUCUCGUUUCGCGGCGAGGAUGAUGAAGGUGAAGACGAUGAAGACGACGAAGCUCUCCCAUCCCCAGGCGAGGAAGAUGAAGGUGAGGAUGAUGAAGGUGAUGAAGGUGACGGUGAAUUCCCUUCCCGGGGCUGAUGAAGACGAUGGUGAUGAAGGACAGGAUGACGACGAUGAUGAUGAAGGUCAGGACGAGGAGGAUGAUGAAGGUCAGGACGAGGACGAUGAGGAUGAUGAUGAAGCUCAGGAGGAUGAUGAGGAUGAUGAAGGCCAGGAUGAUGAAGAUGAUGAAGACGAAGGUGACGAAGGCGAGGAUGAG